UAAGGAAUAUUGGUCAAUGGACGCAAGUCUGAACCAGCCAUGCCGCGUGAAGGAUGAAGGUCCUCUGGAUUGUAAACUUCUUUUAUCUGGGACGAAAACGGGAUUUUUAUCUCAAUUGACGGUACCAGAGGAAUAAGCACCGGCUAACUCCGUGCCAGCAGCCGCGGUAAUACGGAGGGUGCGAGCGUUAUCCGGAUUUACUGGGGUUAAAGGGUGCGUAGGUGGGCUUAUAAGUCAGUGGUGAAAUCUCCGAGCUUAACUUGGAAACUGCCGUUGAUACUAUAGGUCUUGAAUUAUCUGGAGGUAAGCGGAAUAUGUCAUGUAGCGGUGAAAUGCUUAGAUAUGACAUAGAACACCAAUUGCGAAGGCAGCUUACUACAUAUAAAUUGACACUGAGGCACGAAAGCGUGGGGAUCAAACA
rnacentral:rRNA from 1 species